GUGCUAUGACUUCUAUGAGACUUCUGGUUUAUUUCAACUAAUAAGAGAAAAAUGGAAAAUACAUGUCAUGUAAUGUCAUGCAUACAUUAGAUAGAAAAACAUUUUCUAAUAACUAGCUUUCUCAUUUUCCUUUGUUUGGUGUGUAAACGGGUGGGUGAAUAAAAUAAUUUAGCUUGAAAAUAGUUUUUCCUAAGAACCAAAGACGGAAAAUGAAGUUUGAAAACUAAUUUCAGUAAUUUGAACUGAAAUAUACUUUUUAAGGUAAUGUAAUUCUGGUUAAAAUAUUUUCCUUCAAACCAAUCAUAACCUAAUACUUAUUUGGUUUGUGUUCCCCACAUGUUUCUUCAUACACACUAUUAUUUAAUCUAACUAAAAGACAAAUUUACCUACCAUUUAUUUUUUAAUACACCCAAUUUUUAAUAAAGUGACCGCAAAAGCAUUUGGGGCAAUUUUUUAGGGACAUAGGGAGUAUGCUGUAGUUGUUGUGUAGAAUUCAAGACUAUUAUGCCUGAUGUUACCUUGUGGAGUAGAACUUCUGUUUGAUACUGGUACUGGUGGUGGCGGUGGACCAACAUCGGUAAGAUUACCAUAAAAGGAGUAGAUUUCAUACCGAAGAUUGCAGCUAGGUGUAAUCACCCUGGCUCCUGCAGCGAUAAAUGUAGGCGUAACAAAAUCUUUGGAGAAGAAGCUAAAGAUCAGUAGUCAGAUUUAUCUGUGCAGCAGCAGAUUUCAGCUCAGAAUUCCCCAAUGAAGCCUUAUUUUGCAAGGUAUUCAUCAUAGAAUUGUCAGUGUACCCGAAAGCCUCUGUUUGGUUAGGACAUGAUACCGGGAGAGUAGCAGCCGAGUCACGGAUACAAAGCCGGCAAGUGUUGUAAGGUACGUCACCUCUGCAUAGGACCAUGGCUUUGACUUUGUUAGGAGUUUGACCCGCGGUGAAGUUGUAGUAGCCAUUGGUGACUCGAGGGGUUGAGGAUAGAGAGUUGAGGGCUGUUUUGAGGUUGGAUUGGUAAGUGCUGUUUUGGGUGUAAUAGUUGAUGUUUCCGCAUUUGCUGUAGAGGAAUUGAAACUGAGCUGAGGUUUUUGGAAGGAAAGAAAUGAGGAUGAAUUGGAGCACUAAUAAUAUGAGUUUUGUUGGUAACUCCAUUUCUUGAUAA